rnacentral:misc_RNA from 1 species
ACUGUGUACAGUGCCCUGGGCCUGAGGGAUGCCUGCCGCUCCCUGCCGCAGUCCAUCCAGCUCUUUCGGGACAUUGCCCAAGAGUUCUCUGAUGACCUGCACCAUAUCGCCAGCCUCAUUGGGAAAGUAGUGGACUUUGAGGGCAGCCUUGCUGAAAAUCGCUUCACAGUCCUCCCCAACAUAGAUCCUG